CUGGAUGUUAAAUAGAAACAAUUAGUAUUUUAAUAUUGUCAUCAUGAUUUCUUGGUAUGAAAAUGAUAUAUAAACAUAUAUAGAAAUCAAACAUUUUCAUACCAAGAAAUCAUGAUGACAAUAUUAAAAUACUAAUUGUUUCUAUUUAACAUCCAG